rnacentral:rRNA from 2 species
CACUAUCGUUAACUGAAUACAUAGGUUAACGAGGCGAACCGGGGGAACUGAAACAUCUAAGUACCCCGAGGAAAAGAAAUCAACCGAGAUUCCCCCAGUAGCGGCGAGCGAACGGGGAGCAGCCCAGAGUCUGAAUCAGCUUGUGUGUUAGUGGAACGGUCUGGAAAGUCCGACGGUACAGGGUGAUAGUCCCGUACACCAAAAUGCACAGGCUGUGAACUCGAAGAGUAGGGCGGGACACGUGGUAUCCUGUCUGAAUAUGGGGGGACCAUCCUCCAAGGCUAAAUACUCCUGACUGACCGAUAGUGAACCAGUACCGUGAGGGAAAGGCGAAAAGAACCCCGGCGAGGGGAGUGAAAAAGAACCUGAAACCGUGUACGUACAAGCAGUGGGAGCACCUUUAGGUGUGACUGCGUACCUUUUGUAUAAUGGGUCAGCGACUUAUAUUCUGUAGCAAGGUUAACCGUAUAGGGGAGCCGCAGGGAAACCGAGUCUUAACUGGGCGUUAAGUUGCAGGGUAUAGACCCGAAACCCGGUGAUCUAGCCAUGGGCAGGUUGAAGGUUGGGUAACACUAACUGGAGGACCGAACCGACUAAUGUUGAAAAAUUAGCGGAUGACUUGUGGCUGGGGGUGAAAGGCCAAUCAAACCGGGAGAUAGCUGGUUCUCCCCGAAAGCUAUUUAGGUAGCGCCUCGUGAACUCAUCUUCGGGGGUAGAGCACUGUUUCGGCUAGGGGGUCAUCCCGACUUACCAACCCGAUGCAAACUACGAAUACCGAAGAAUGUUAUCACGGGAGACACACGGCGGGUGCUAACGUCCGUCGUGAAGAGGGAAACAACCCAGACCGCCAGCUAAGGUCCCAAAGUCAUGGUUAAGUGGGAAACGAUGUGGGAAGGCACAGACAGCCAGGAUGUUGGCUUAGAAGCAGCCAUCAUUUAAAGAAAGCGUAAUAGCUCACUGGUCGAGUCGGCCUGCGCGGAAGAUGUAACGGGGCUAAACCAUGCACCGAAGCUGCGGCAGCGACACUAUGUGUUGUUGGGUAGGGGAGCGUUCUGUAAGCCUGCGAAGGUGACCUGUGAGGGUUGCUGGAGGUAUCAGAAGUGCGAAUGCUGACAUAAGUAACGAUAAAGCGGGUGAAAAGCCCGCUCGCCGGAAGACCAAGGGUUCCUGUCCAACGUUAAUCGGGGCAGGGUGAGUCGACCCCUAAGGCGAGGCCGAAAGGCGUAGUCGAUGGGAAACAGGUUAAUAUUCCUGUACUUGGUGUUACUGCGAAGGGGGGACGGAGAAGGCUAUGUUAGCCGGGCGACGGUUGUCCCGGUUUAAGCAUGUAGGCUGGUUAUCCAGGCAAAUCCGGAUAAUCAAGGCUGAGGUGUGAUGACGAGGCACUACGGUGCUGAAGUAACAAAUGCCCUGCUUCCAGGAAAAGCCUCUAAGCAUCAGGUAACAUCAAAUCGUACCCCAAACCGACACAGGUGGUCAGGUAGAGAAUACCAAGGCGCUUGAGAGAACUCGGGUGAAGGAACUAGGCAAAAUGGUGCCGUAACUUCGGGAGAAGGCACGCUGGUGUGUAGGUGAAGUCCCUGCGGAUGGAGCUGAGACCAGUCGAAGAUACCAGCUGGCUGCAACUGUUUAUUAAAAACACAGCACUGUGCAAACACGAAAGUGGACGUAUACGGUGUGACGCCUGCCCGGUGCCGGAAGGUUAAUUGAUGGGGUUAUCCGUAAGGAGAAGCUCUUGAUCGAAGCCCCGGUAAACGGCGGCCGUAACUAUAACGGUCCUAAGGUAGCGAAAUUCCUUGUCGGGUAAGUUCCGACCUGCACGAAUGGCGUAAUGAUGGCCAGGCUGUCUCCACCCGAGACUCAGUGAAAUUGAACUCGCUGUGAAGAUGCAGUGUACCCGCGGCAAGACGGAAAGACCCCGUGAACCUUUACUAUAGCUUGACACUGAACAUUGAGCCUUGAUGUGUAGGAUAGGUGGGAGGCUUUGAAGCGUGGACGCCAGUCUGCGUGGAGCCAACCUUGAAAUACCACCCUUUAAUGUUUGAUGUUCUAACGUUGGCCCCUUAUCGGGGUUGCGGACAGUGUCUGGUGGGUAGUUUGACUGGGGCGGUCUCCUCCCAAAGCGUAACGGAGGAGCACGAAGGUUAGCUAAUCCUGGUCGGACAUCAGGAGGUUAGUGCAAUGGCAUAAGCUAGCUUGACUGCGAGCGUGACGGCGCGAGCAGGUGCGAAAGCAGGUCAUAGUGAUCCGGUGGUUCUGAAUGGAAGGGCCAUCGCUCAACGGAUAAAAGGUACUCCGGGGAUAACAGGCUGAUACCGCCCAAGAGUUCAUAUCGACGGCGGUGUUUGGCACCUCGAUGUCGGCUCAUCACAUCCUGGGGCUGAAGUAGGUCCCAAGGGUAUGGCUGUUCGCCAUUUAAAGUGGUACGCGAGCUGGGUUUAGAACGUCGUGAGACAGUUCGGUCCCUAUCUGCCGUGGGCGCUGGAGAAUUGAGGGGGGCUGCUCCUAGUACGAGAGGACCGGAGUGGACGCAUCACUGGUGUUCGGGUUGUCAUGCCAAUGGCACUGCCCGGUAGCUAAAUGCGGAAGAGAUAAGUGCUGAAAGCAUCUAAGCACGAAACUUGCCCCGAGAUGAGUUCUCCCUGAGACUUUAAGUCUCCUGAAGGAACGUUAAAGACGAUGACGUUGAUAGGCCGGGUGUGUAAGCGCAGCGAUGCGUUGAGCUAACCGGUACUAAUGAACCGUGAGGCUUAACCUU